AAAGAUUAAGCCAUGCAUGUCUCAGUAUGAACUAUCUAUUGUGAAACCGCGAAUGGCUCAUUACAACAGCCAUAGUUUACUGGAUAUAUUCCAUUACAUGGAUAACUGUGGUAAUUCUACAGCUAAUACACGCAUCAAAACCCUGACUUCGGAAAGGGUGCGUUAGUUACUUCAAACUGACUAGACUUCGGUCUGGCUCCAGUGAAAUUGAACUAUUUAGCUGAUCGUACGGUCUAAGCACCGGCGACAUAUCCUUCAAAUGUCUGCCUUAUCAACUGUCGAUGGUAGAUUAUGCGCCUACCAUGGUUGUAACGGGUAACGGAGAAUCAGGGUUUGAUUCCGGAGAGGGAGCCUGAGAAAUGGCUACCACAUCCAAGGAAGGCAGCAGGCACGCAAAUUACCCACUCCCGGCACGGGGAGGUAGUGACGAAAAAUAACAAGCUGGUCUCUUUGAGUUCCGGCAUUGUAAUGGGAACAACUUAAAUCAUUUAUCGAGGAUCUAUUGGAGGGCAAGUCUGGUGCCAGCAGCCGCGGUAAUUCCAGCUCCAAUAGCGUAUAUUAAAGUUGUUGCGGUUAAAAAGCUCGUAGUUGGAUCUACGAUCAAGGCUUGUGGUCGUCCUUCUCGGAUGUACUGCUUAGUCUGGUCGAAUUAUCUGGUGAACGAUUGAUGCUCUUCACUGAGUGUCUCUAGUUGCUGGAACGUUUACCUUGAAAAAAUUGAAGUGCUCAAAGCAGGCUUACGCCUGAACAUUGUUGCAUGGGAUAAUCGAAUAGGACUUCGGUUCUAUUUUGUGGUUUCGGGAACGCGAAGUAAUGAUUAAUAGGGACAGACGGGGGCAUUCGUAUUGCUGCGUUAGAGGUGAAAUUCUUGGAUCGUAGCAAGACGACCUACUGCGAAAGCAUUUGCCAAGAAUGUUUUCAUUAAUCAAGAACGAAAGUUAGAGGUUCGAAGGCGAUCAGAUACCGCCCUAGUUCUAACCGUAAACGAUGUUAACUAGCGACUCGCAGGUGUUACUUUAACGGCCCUGCGAGGAGCUCCCGGGAAACCUAAGUGUUCGAAUUCCGGGGGAAGUAUGGUUGCAAAGCUGAAACUUAAAGGAAUUGACGGAAGGGCACCACCAGGAGUGGAGCUUGCGGCUUAAUUUGACUCAACGCGGGGAAACUCACUUGGUCAGGACACUGUAAGGAUUGACAGAUUGAAAGCUCUUUCUUGAUUCGGUGGAUGGUGGUGCAUGGCCGUUCUUAGUUGGUGGAGUGAUUUGUCUGGUUAAUUCCGAUAACGAGCGAGA
rnacentral:rRNA from 1 species